UGACUGACCACUAUGGCAGACUAAUCACCGCCUACAUGAAGUUAGCCUUUGCACAUUUGAUAUGAUUUCACAAUGAUGAGAUGAGGGAAGUGACUCCUGGUCAGGUCAAAUGACUUUUCCGGGUUUCCCGGGUGACAGAGUCAGAAAGAGCAAGGACAUCUUUCAACAUCCUGGCCAGUGCUCUUGGCAUGUUCCCUUCAUUAUUAUACUUUAAAAUUAUUGGACUUUUAAGGCAAAUUUCCAAGAAAAAUAAGUUCAAGCCGGGAACGAACAACCUGUUGGGUGCAGAUGAACCAUCUACAGUGUUCAUUAAUUUCCAAGAAUCACCUUGAAUCACUGAGGUCAAAAGGAAAAGCAGGUAACAAAUUUCACUUAAGAAUCCAGGGGCCAGCCCGGUGGCGCAGCAGUUAAGUUCGCAAGUUCUGCUUCUUGGCAGCCUGGGGUUCUCCAGGAAGAUGGGCAUGGAUGUUAGCUCAGGGCCAGUCUUCCUCAGCAAAAAGAGGAAGAUUGGCAGUAGUUAGCUCAGGGCUAAUCUUCCUCAAGAAAAAAAAAAAGAAUCCAAUAAAAAUCCUGAAGAGUCCCAUUAGCUGUGUGAUUUAAGAGCUUAACUGUGAUAUGAACUUACUUCUGACUCUUGGGUGAAAUAUUUGCCCUCUUUGCACCAGUGUAACUCUGUAAAUUAAUAUUAACCAAUAUACUGAUUUUAUAACUGGAAGGGACACACCGUCAAGAUCAUUUUGUUGAUCUCCU
rnacentral:lncRNA from 1 species